UACGGGGGGCGCAAGCGUUGUUCGGAAUUACUGGGCGUAAAGGGCUCGUAGGCGGCCAACUAAGUCAGACGUGAAAUCCCUCGGCUUAACCGGGGAACUGCGUCUGAUACUGGAUGGCUUGAGUUUGGGAGAGGGAUGCGGAAUUCCAGGUGUAGCGGUGAAAUGCGCAGAUAUCGGGAAGAACACCCGUGGCGAAGGCGGUUCGCUGGGACGGUACUGACGCUGAGACGCGAAAGCGUGGGGAGCGAACAGG
rnacentral:rRNA from 1 species